AGCAAUCCUCACAUGUCAGCCCCCUGAGUAGCUGGGACUACAGGCAUGUACCACUAUGUCCGGCUAAUGUUUGUAUUUUUUGUAGAGAUGGGGUUUCGCCAUGUUGCCAAGGCUGCUCUCGAACUCCUGGGCUCAAGGGAUUCAUCUGCCUCAGCCUCCCAAAGUGCUGGGAUUACAGGUGUGAGCCUGGCCCACAUUCCUAUGAAUGGGGUCUUCUGUGCAAAGAAUGACUAUCCCUCUGCUUCAGGAUGUCCUGCAAACACAGCCAAUCUGCCUCAGCUGUCACAGCAGGGGGCUAAAGGGCAGGGCCCAUGAUUCAGAAGGAAUUCAGCAGAGACAAGAGUGGGCGGAUGUGGUGGCCGCUGAAUGGCAGGAGAUAAUGGGUCCAAGGAUGCAGCGUUGGUUGAGCUAUCAGUGACUGAGGAAUGAUUAAUGAAACAUGUAAACAUUCCCCAGAGAAUUCCCAGAAAUACACAGAGAGCAGGACUUGGUAACAGACUUUCCUCUCUGAAGACAAGUAAACUGCAUAUUAAAGCGGACUGUGACCUCAUAGACUGAUGAAAUUUGAAACACUUAAGCUACAUAUGCUGCUUCUGGGUUAUGUGUUCUGUGUCAUAUCUUAGCUUCCUUUUUCAGACAAUACAUCUUUGAUGAUCGAAAACAACAACAACCUGAUACAGUUCCUUGCAGUUCUAAAAGCCCAAUAGUCCAGAAUACAAAGUCUCUAUUAUGUUCUUCUCUGGAUAAAAGAACUUGUGGACUUUAUAACAUAAUCCAAGAAUGAAGAAAAAAAAAACAACCAAAACCUACCUUUAGGAACAAAGAGGGCACAUAGCAGGAAGCUGAAAUACAGAACGUCUUCUGAGAACACAGAGAACAUUUAGCAAAAAGUGGAAAAUCUGACAACACUGUACAGUCGCAGUCUUCCUCUCCAUAACAAUAAUUUUUUCUCCUCUCACUAAAAUAGAGCAAUUUUUAUUGUCACAAGCCCAUGUGUAUUACUGGCAAUAGGGAUAUAGCUGUAUAGGACACCUCCUUAAACAUCUCCUUUAUUUUAAGAUUCAGUUAGGGGGAAAUGACUAGUUUCCCAGCACUUUCUGGUUACCAUGGAUACCUGUCAUCCACAUCCAGAGCCUGCAGGUUACACUCAGGGACUCUUGCCAGCUCAUGAAUAAUAUCGCUGAAGCCCGCUGCCGCUGCGAUAUGUACACAUGUCUUCCCACUCUCAUCAUCAUAGUUGAUUAUGGACGGCCCCUGGUGAUGGCUCAGAAUGAUGGAGCACAGAAUCCUAUUUCCACUCUGGAAAAGAGAGUCAAAGAAAGCCCAUUAUGUACAAUCCAGUGUUCUUCUCUGUCUAGGCAUGUUAAGAUAAAAAUACAAAGGAAAAAAAGGAAAGAAAGAAAGAAAGAAAAAAGAUGAAAAGAGAAAAGGAAAUGGAAAAAAAAGAAUAAAAAUACACUCUAUCUAAGCUCUCCAACAAGUGUCCACUUGUCUCAAGUCACUGCAGAGAUUUUUGUCUCCCACAGGAGCUAAAUUGUCUUCCAUAACUAGUGAACGAAGGAUGGAUUGAAAUUAAAUACAGGUGCAAUGGACUGACGUCAGAGCUAGAGUGAUCGGUGGGCCACCUAGACAACAACUUGCUCAUUAGGUCUGAUCAUUUGUGUCCCCAUUUGCUGUAGAGGCUGACCACCAAGAAACUGACAGAGUUCAUCUUAAUGUUAAAGAAGUGACUAUGAUGAGUACUGAUUGGUGGCGCAGUGAUGCACUUAAAAAGCUUGUUUCGGGGUAGGGCCAAGGAGCAGGGGGCUGAGAAUUUGUCCCAGGGAGCCUGGGAAGCAGAACUGUCUGAGCAGAGGCUACAGUCUUGUAUCAGACUUCGUUUACAAAAACAAUUAAAAGAUAAAGUGAGAAUUUCCAGAUGGGGACUACAGAACAUUAUGCCUUAAGCACAGGGUCCCAUCUGAGUACCAGACCCUCUGUGGCUGCACUGGUUACAUAUCCAUAAAGCAAUCUCUGGCUACAAACUUUUUCUUUCUCUUCCUAUCAUCUUCCCUUUUGCGUCUUCUUCCUCCAUCCAUCUUUCCUUUGUCUAACAAUGAUUUUAAAUAACUUUGACCCAUUGUUUAUAUUCUAUGGCAUGCCUGUCCUUAGAAGUCAGCUAAAGCUUACUUAGGUGACUUAGAAGUCACCUAAAGUUUAGGUGAGCACACCUAAGCUUUCAUGCCUUUAUCAACUUUUCUAUGUUUGUUUCACUUCAUGCUAGUUAGACAUACAUCGAAGGAGUCUGAAAUACAUUUUAGAUAGUCAAGAGACACUUUUCUUUAAAAGCAGUAGCCAUUCAAUAAGGAAAAUAGAAGCAAAAAGAGUGUCAGCACAACAAUUCUUUUUUGUUUACAAUUUCCUGGAAGAGUAAAGGAAUUCAAGCUGUCAAGGUGGUUCAAAGGCCAAAACACCCUGUUCAUAGUUUCCCCUCUUGGUAGAAGAAGAAGCAUUAAGUGCAGAUGGAGAAAACAAAACCCCACACUCGUACUCUCUUCCUUUCGCCUCCCUCGCCCCUGGGGUGGAGUCAUUCUGGAAGUGGUAAACUGAAAUAGAGGCUGCUGCUUCUGGGAUCCUGCCAGCCAGUCCCAGGCAGCAGGUCUCUUGGUAGCUGGGGUACUGUUGACAGCCUCUCUGGAUAAGUAAAGACAGACUCCAUACCUUUACUCUUUUCCUUUUGUCCUAAAUUCUCCAAACAAUUCCUUUGUCUCUAUACCUGAAUCUCACUUAUAGCACCAUUGUUUGUAUUUUACUUUUCUUUGUAAGAAGAUCCUCCCAGGAAGAAUGGUGACAACUGUAUUUACUGUGUGAUCGUCUGGGCCUGGCACCUUUCUAAGCCAUUUCAUGUACUAACUCAUGAACAACAAUCCCACAAGGUUGGUACUAUUAUUGUCCUCAUAUUGUACAGGAGACAAUGAAGGCAUAAGGGAUUAAGAAAUUUGCCCUCUGUCACGGCUGAGAAUGAGCAGAUCCAGGAUUGACUGUGGAGGCAUUGGACUUCACCACUAUACUAUUCUGUCUGUGAUUAAAAAGAAUGGUCUAUUAAUUUGAUCCUGCAUGUUCAUACUGGAGGAACUAAAGUGAAAACUGUUUAGACCUACAUCAGUACCAGUGACGUGUGCCUCACCAACUGAGACCUCCUUUACAGUUAAUCUUUGGGUACUUUAAGAGUUUCUCCUAGUAAGGUUUCCAUGGUGCACCCUCAGGAGAAUUUCAGGGAGCCUUAGAAAACACUAGUUUGUAAGUCAAGGCCCUGGAUCACUUGCCUCCUGGUGACAGAAUUCCCUUCUUAACAAUCUAGACUGUGUGUCAGCCAAAAAUAUGCUUAGGCCUGGGAGGUAGGGAAAGUCACAGAGACCAGGAGACACUAGACAAGAAGAAAUGGGACUGUGGUCCAGGUGGGUCCUUAGGAAGAAUCGAGAGUAGGUUUACAUUGGGUAGAAAUGUUAUUAAAUAGGGAAAGAAACAGUAUUGUACAUAUCCUAUUCUUAAGGAGCUCUAGAAUUCUACACUGAGCUGCCAGAUGAUGAUUGUGAGUUUGUUUUUGUUGUAUUUAUUUGUUUUUGUUCAUGAGUAAUCCAUAACAUUGCCUUCAUGUAUUCUGAAAAUGAUUGGGAACUGAGUCCUAGUCGUUUUCUCUUUACCUGUCAUGAGUGGGGAGAGUUGGGGAAGCCUGACUCAUAAGAAGACUUGCCAAGAAGAAAGUCGAGUUAAUGUGUAAUAAUUUUGCUACGGGCAGAUUGAUAAAACAACAACAACAACAAUAAGAUCUCAAUAUCCUAACUGUAGACAUUCUAGGUGACCUUCAAAGGAGUCUAGUGGGCGAUUUAAGACUAGUUGCUUAUUUGCUAACAUAUGUCUAAGGAAUAUGUUCUAUGGUGGUUUCUUCUUGGCAGGAACUCCAAUCUCCUUCCUUCUCUUGAACACUGGGAUGUGUUUGCAUUGCUUGUCUUGUGAUGGUGACCAUAUAAAGCAGAGGCCAGUGCUUUAGCCUCUGUGUUGCAGCCGCUUAUCCCUCCUAAAAAGCUGGGAGGUUUUGUGAUGUGAGAAGAUGAUCCUGGCUCAUCGGUUGGAGCCAGACAUGUUAGACUAGAAUGGAGACAAAAGGAACAUCUAGAGUCUAUUCCAUGUGAAUGUUUGAGGGUUGAGGGUCUGGGGCUAACUAGAGAAAGAAACGUGCCUAAUAUCCCUGGCUUAGAAUCUGGACUGCCUUCAUGGUUAGCCCCUUUGGACCAAGCUUUUAGUUGGCCUGGACUCCAGAGGCUGCCAAGCCCAAAAGCCUGGGGCUGCCUCUUCUGGAGAGAGAGCAGAAGAUAGAAAUAGUGGGAGGGGGAAAAGGUACCUUUUUUUAAUAUACCAGAGCACUCUGUUCUUCUUAAUAAAGUCUGUCCUCCGGAGAAACUAGUUAACCAGAGCCUAAUCUACUGAGGUUUUAUCAGAGCCUAAUUGACCUUAGGGAAGAAAAGUGUUCAACUCCAUCUAGCUCUAGCUUUCCACAUGGGAGCAGAACAAUACCCAACUCCAGCCCACUCUAGCUAUCCUGUCCCACCUAAGAAGGGGAAAAAACAUCCUGAGAAUCACUUGGAAUAUUCACAUUCCAGAGGCAUAGGUUCACUAAAAGACAGGGACCAAAUCAUAGGACGAUAUAGUACAUUUCUCUUCCCCCCAUACUUCACCAUUACAUUACUAAAGCGCUAUUUACAGGAGUUCCUCUUACCCACUACAUCAUGUCUGGCUAUCGAGAAAAAAUUAUAAAGCAUGCCAAAAGGUGAAUAACACAAUAUCUACAGAGCAAGCAUCAGUUCCAGACAUGGCAGGGAUAUGGGAAUUAUCAGAUAAAUAAUUUAAAGCAACUAUGAUUAAUGUGCUAAGGGCUGUAAAUGGAUAAAGUGGACAACAUGUCAGAACAGAUGGGCGAUGUAAGCAGGAAGAUGGAGAUCCUAAGAGAGAACAAAUAAUAAAUGCUGGAGAUAAAAAACACUGUAAUGGAAAUGAAGAAUGCCUUUGAUGAGCUUAUCAGUAGAUUGGACACAGCUGAGGGAAGAGUCUCUGCGCUUGAGAAGAUCUCAAUGUAAACCUCCAAAACUGGAAAACAAAAAGAACAAAGACUGAAAAAAACAGAACAGAAUAUUCACAGACUGUGAGAGAACUACAAAAGGUGUAACAUACAGGCAAUAGGAAUACCAGAAGGAGAAGAGAAAAAGGAACAGGAUAAAUAUUUGAAACAAUAAUAACAACUGAGAAUUUUACCAAAAAAAUUGUUAGACACAAAAGCUCAGAGAACACCAAGCACGAUAAAUGCCAAAAACAACAAAAAAAAACAACAAAACAAACAAAAAACCCUAUGCCUAGGCAUAUUAUUUUCCAAUUACAGAAAACCAAAGAUAAAGAAAAAGUCCAGAAGGAAGCCAGAGGAAAAGAACACCUUACCUAUAGAGGAGCAAAGAGAAGGAUUACCUCUGAUUUCUCAGAAACCAUACAAGCAAGAAGAGACUGGAGUGAAAUACUUAAAGAGUUGAGAAAAGCCUCCCAUCAACAAGAAUUCUGUACCUUAUGAAACUGUCCUUCAAAAGUGAAGGAGCAAUAAAUACUUUCUUAGAUAAACAAAAAUUGAGGGAAUUUGUUACUGGUAGACCUGCAUUGUACUAGAUGUUAAAAGUAGUUUCUUGACGGGUGCGGUGGCUCAUGCCUGUAAUCCCAGCAUUUUGGGAGGCUGAGGCAGGUGGAUCACCUGAGAUCAGGAGUUCGAGACCAGCCUGAUCAAUAUGGAGAAACCCCGUCUCUGCUAAAAAUACAAAAAUUAGCCGGGUGUGGUGGUGCGUGCCUGUGAUCCCAGCUACUCGGAAGGCUGAGACAGGAGAAUCGCUUGAACCCGGGAGGCAGAGGUUGCAGUGAGCCGAGAUCGCGCCAUUGCACUCCAGCCUGGGCAACAGAGCAAGACUCCGUCUCAAAAAAAAAAAAAAAAAAAAAAAAAAAAGUAGUUUCUUAGAAGAGAAGAAAAAUGAUAUAGGCCAGAAACUCUGAUUUACGUAAAGAAAAGAAGAACGCUGAAGAAGGAAUAAGUGAAGGUAAAAUAAAAACUUUUAUUUUUUAUUGUUAAUUAACCUAGGAGAUAAUAGUUUGUUCAAAUUACUAACAGCUACAAUGUAUGCUAAUGCAUCUAUCUUUAUAUCUAUAUACAUAUAUAUAAGCUUAUGUAUGCUUAUAUAUAAGUAAAAUGAAUGACAGCAAUCAUACUAGGGACAGGUGGAAGGAAUUAGAAUCAUUUAGUUAUUAUAAAGUAUUCGCACUACCCAUGAAGUGGUAUAGUGUUAUUUUGAAGUGGAUUUCGAUUAGUUGUAAACAUACUUGGUAUACUCUAGGGCAAUCACUAAAAAAGUAAAAAAGGAAGUAUAACUAAUAUGCUAAGAAAAGAGAGAAAAUAGAAUAAUACAAAAUGCUAAUUAAAACCACAAAAGGUGGAAGAAGAGUAGAAGACAAAAAUAGGAACAAAGAAUAAGGGCAUGGGCGGAUCACAAGGUCAGGAGAUCGAGACCAUCCUGGCUAACACGGUGAAACCCUGUCUCUACUUAAAAUACAAAAAAAAAAAAAAAAAUUAGCUGGGUGUGGUGGCGGGCGCCUGUAGUCCCAACUACUCAGGAGGCUGAGGCAGGAGAAUGGCGUGAACCUGAGAGGCGGAGCUUGCAGUGAGCAGAGAUCGCGCCACUGCACUCCUGCCUGGGUGACAGAAUGAGACUCUAUCUAAAAAAAAAAAAAAAAAAAGAAUAAGGGCAGCAAAUAGAAAACAGUAACAAAUAUGAUCGAUGUUACUCUAACUAUAUGAAUAAUCACUCUGAACAUCAAUGGUCUAAAUGUACCAAUCAAAAGACAGAGAUUGUCAGGGUGGAUAGAAAAAUAAGACCCAACUAUAUGUUGUCUAUAAGAAACCCACUUUAAAUAUAAUGACACAUAUAGAUUAAAAGUGAAUGAGUGGUGAAAGAUUUACCAUGAAAACACUAACCAAAAGAAAGCAGGAGUAGCUAUAUAUUAUAAUUCUAGACAGUGCAGACUACAAAACAAAGAAAGUUGUUAGGGAUAAAGAAGGGUAUUACAUAAUGAUAAAGAGGUCAGUUCUCCAAGAAGACAUAACGAUCCUUAUGUACCGAACAACACAGCCUCAAAAUAUGCGAGGCAAAACCUGAUAAAGCUGCAAGAAGAAACAGAUGAGUCCGCUUUAUAGUUGAAGACUUCAACAUCCCUCUAUCAGAAAUGGACAGAUCCAGAAAGCAGAAAAUCAGUAGGAAUAUAGUUGAACUUAAAAAUACAAUUAAUUGGCCGGGCACGAUGGCUCAUGCCUGUAAUCCCAGCACUUUGGGAGGCUGAGGUGGGCAGAUCACAAGGUCGGGAGUUCGAGACCAGCCUAGCCAACAUGGUGAAACCCCAUCUCUACUAAAAAUACAAAAACUAGCUGGGCAUGGUGGUGCAUGCCUGUAAUCCCAGCUACUGGGGAGACUGAGGUAGGAGAAUGGCUUGAACCUAGGAGGCGGAGGUUGUA
rnacentral:lncRNA from 1 species